rnacentral:misc_RNA from 1 species
AACUGAUACUACCUGCGGGAACCUGCGGAAGGAUCAUUACCAAUCUCUUAGCGGGCCUUGGCUUGUCCAUGGUCCGCAAAAACUUGUAUUUAAAACCCAACUCAUGUAAAUGAAUCAUACUUUUUUAUAUCAUAUGAUGUAAAUUAAAGAUAACUUUCAACAAUGGAUCUCU